rnacentral:rRNA from 1 species
GACGAACGCUGGCGGCGUGCUUAACACAUGCAAGUCGAACGGAAAGGCCCUUCGGGGUACUCGAGUGGCGAACGGGUGAGUAACACGUGGGUGAUCUGCCCUGCACUUUGGGAUAAGCCUGGGAAACUGGGUCUAAUACCGGAUAGGACUACGCGAUGCAUGUCGUGUGGUGGAAAGCUUUUGCGGUGUGGGAUGGGCCCGCGGCCUAUCAGCUUGUUGGUGAGGUUACGGCUCACUAAGGCGACGACGGGUAGCCGGCCUGAGAGGGUGACCGGCCACACUGGGACUGAGAUACGGCCCAGACUCCUACGGGAGGCAGCAGUGGGGAAUAUUGCACAAUGGGCGCAAGCCUGAUGCAGCGACGCCGCGUGAGGGAUGACGGCCUUCGGGUUGUAAACCUCUUUCAGCAGGGACGAAGCGCAAGUGACGGUACCUGUAGAAGAAGGACCGGCCAACUACGUGCCAGCAGCCGCCGUAAAAC